UUUGGCUCUAAUCCAAGCCAUGACAGCAUUUUUUUUUGCUGCUGUGGAUAGUAGUGAGCCUAGAUAAACAUUUCCUCGACGGUCGCCAUUUAGGGAUUCCUGUGCUUACUUGGCAACAUUUUCAGGAAAUGACACUU